AUAGCUUUAUCAGCAACUCUGCUUUGCAAUGACUUCACAGCAAGGUUACCAAGAAGCAGAUGGGCUGUGAAGGAGACAAACCCCCUUGUCUAAACACAAAUAGCAUUGAUAAUUAAUUAGCUGAAGCAGCAGGGGAAAUUAUGAAAAUGUGUGAAAGGAAUGGAAGAAUCCUCUUUUUGACUUCCUUGCUGGUUGUGAUCAUCAAUAAAGCACCAGUAUUAAAGAGAUGAAGAACUGAGAUGCAGUUAAAUGACCGUUGCAAGACCCAACAUCUGGGAAGCGACAAAACUAGUAUUUAGAGUUCAGUUCUGCCUCAUGAGAAACUUCUAAUGUUUCCACCAUGUUCUCACUUCCAUAGUUGCCAUUGUUCUCUUUGGCAUCACUCUAUCAUUUCUCCUUAUGUCCUAGCACCUGUAUUCUACUGAGACCACAUUGAUCUACUUGGCACCUCUGGGGAAAAUUGGGCUGAAUUAUGUUUUCAUGUCUUGACUUAUCCACCCAUCAGCAUGAAAAACUUAGGUAUGAACCCUGAACACAGAUUCAAAGUGUAGUGUCUAAACCAAACUGCUUCUUGGGGCGCCUGGGUGGCGCAGUCGGUUAAGCGUCCAACUUCAGCCAGGUCACGAUCUCGCGGUCCGUGAGUUCGAGCCCCACGUCAGGCUCUGGGCUGAUGGCUCGGAGCCUGGAGCCUG